CGGAGUUCAUUCUUUGACUGCGUGAACAAGAACCCAGAUUCUGGUAACAUCUUUCCGGCAUCACUUUCAUGUUCACUGUAUUUCAGAGUUUAGAUUAGUGACUGACUCCUGUAGUUGGCGCUCAGUACUUAGCAUGGUGUGUCUGAAAAAUUACAAAGAGCCCAUUGUUGCUUAGACAAGGGAAGGAGUCACCAGAGAUGAAAAUGGAAGACAGGUCAAGAUAGGUUGCCUAGGACCGCAUGAGCCUGGACGUAAUCAGUGGGGGUUAAUGAAUGGAGGUGAAUGAUCAGUAUGUGUUUUGGACAGAGCUGUAUUCCUCGGGCUGCAUUGUCACAUGUGCAUUGGAUGGGGUAGAGACUAGAGAUCUGGGGUUGGGAGCCAGGUUAGUGUAGAAAGGAGACAGCCUGGACAGAUACGACUUUGUCCUAGAACUGAAGGGACCACUGCUGAAGAGGAGAAAUCUCUAAUAACAUAGGUUUCCAUCUGGGCCCAGAGGUUGAAGUAUGAUACUGUCAACUAGAAUGGGCAUACGAGCAGAGGGAUGAGACCAGUCCUGGAGUUGUGUGUAUGAAAUGCUUGAAGGAAGUUUAAGAGGUGGCUCUUGGGACCUGGAAGACCUACAUUCCCUACACAUAGAGGGGGUAGAACUUGGGAACCAGCGGCAAGGUGGGUCUCACAUGAGUAAAAACUCAAAUUCCCCCAAAAAACUCAAAUGGAACCACCCCUGUGGUAUUGCCACUUCUGCUUUCUUCUAGAAGCUAGCGCUGAAGCUGACCUCAGGACUAUCUUAUUUUCCGAAAGAUCUGAACUGCAGAGGGUCAUUCUGCCCUUGAAAAGAAACCAAGAUAAAAGGAAACAGCUCUCAGGAAUUAUAAGCAAAACACAACCAGACACUCACUGCGGAUUGCCCCAUUUUCCACCUCUUUAAUGUUUACUGAAUGCCUGCUAUGUGCAAGAUACUGAUUCUUCCUCUGCUGUGACUUUUGGAUAAUCCAGACUUGAAUUGAGGGGGCAUUGCUGGCUUGAAAAUGAUCCAAGAGCAGAAGAAACACUUCUCAAAAUCAUCCACCAAACAAACAAAAAUUGAGAAACGUAGAUUUUUUGUUUGUUUUUUCUCUUCAAGAAUGAACCAGGACUCUAACUUUGGGUUUUCAGUAAGUCAUAUAUCCUGUCUACUAAAGCCUUCCAUUUUCAUUUUUUGAUUCAUCUUAUCUGUAAGACGAAUUAAUCACACACUUCUAUGACUUCUCCUUUGGCCACGUUAUCAUUCUCAGACUGUCCUGAAUUGAAUUAUUAGGAAAUACAGGCCGUGGAAAUGAAGCCAAGAUAAAAGGAAAAUACUCAUGUCCCUACUUUCCCUUAGGAAAUAAAGCAG
rnacentral:lncRNA from 1 species